rfam:Schistosoma mattheei strain Denwood, Zambia genome assembly, scaffold: SMTD_scaffold0012157
AUCCAGCUGAUGUGUCCCUAAAUAGGACGAAACACACGUCAAACUGCAU